rnacentral:rRNA from 1 species
AACGUAGGAGACAAACGUUAUCCGGAGUUACUGGGCGUAAAGGGCGUGUAGGUGGUUUCGUAAGUCUGGCGUGAAAUUUUUCGGCUUAACCGGGAAAGGUCGUCGGAUACUGCGGAACUAGAGGACGGUAGAGGGCGUGUGGAAUUCCGGGUGUAGUGGUGAAAUGCGUAGAGAUCCGGAGGAACACCAGUGGCGAAGGCGACA